rnacentral:rRNA from 1 species
AACGUAGGUGGCGAGCGUUAUCCGGAAUUACUGGGCGUAAAGCGUGUGCAGGCGGGUCGUCAGGUGGUGUAUGAAAUCUCCCGGCUCAACCGGGAUAGGUUAUGCCAGACUGACGGUCUAGAGGCUGAGAGAGGAGCGUGGAAUUCCGGGUGUGAGUGGUGAAAUGCGUAGAGAUCCGGAGGAACCCCAGAGGCGAAGGCGGCGCUCUGGCUCAGCCCUGACGCUCAGACACGACAGCAUGGGGAGCGGAACGGGG